rnacentral:tRNA from 6 species
GCCGGAGUAGCUCAGUUGGUAGAGCAGCUCACUUGUAAUGAGAAGGUCGAGGGUUCGAUUCCUUUCUCCGGCACCA